UACAGAGGUCCCAAGCGUUGUUCGGAUUCACUGGGCGUAAAGGGUGCGUAGGCGGUCGGGUAAGUCUGCUGUGAAAUCCCCGAGCUCAACUUGGGAAUUGCAGUGGAUACUGGCAGGCUGGAGUAUGGUAGAGGAAGGUGGAAUUCCCGGUGUAGCAGUGAAAUGCGUAGAGAUCGGGAGGAACACCAGUGGCGAAGGCGGCUCACUGGCCCGAUACUGACGCUGAGGUGCGAAAGCGUGGGGAGCAAACAGG
rnacentral:rRNA from 1 species